CCUAUGCUGCCAAGAAAAGCCUCUAGCGAGUGUUAAAGCCGCCCGUACCCCAAACCGACACAGGUGGUCAGGUAGAGAAUACUAAGGCGAUCGAGAUAACUAUGGUUAAGGAACUCGGCAAAAUGCCUCCGUAACUUCGGGAGAAGGGGGGCCCGUUCUGGUGAGGAGAUUUACUCUCCGAGCUGGGAUUGGCCGCAGAGACCAGGCCCAAGCGACUGUUUACUAAAAACACAGGUCCAUGCUAAGUCGCAAGACGCUGUAUAUGGACUGACGCCUGCCCGGUGCUGGAACGUUAAGGGGACGGGUUAGCGACUUCGGUCGCGAAGCUCAGAACUUAAGCGCCAGUAAACGGCGGUGGUAACUAUAACCAUCCUAAGGUAGCGAAAUUCCUUGUCGGGUAAGUUCCGACCUGCACGAAUGGCGUAACGACUUGGGCGCUGUCUCAACCGUAGACUCGGCGAAAUUGCACUACGAGUAAAGAUGCUCGUUACGCGCGGCAGGACGGAAAGACCCCGGGACCUUUACUACAGCUUGGUAUUGGUGGUCGAUUCGAUUUGUGUAGGAUAGGUGGGAGACUGUGAACUUCGGACGCCAGUUCGAAGGGAGUCAUCGUUGAAAUACCACUCUGAUCGUAUUGGCUGUCUAACCUAGAUCCGUAAUCCGGAUCAGGGACAGUGCCUGGUGGGUAGUUUAACUGGGGCGGUUGCCUCCUAAAAUGUAACGGAGGCGCUCAAAGGUUCCCUCAGCCUGGUUGGCAAUCAGGUAUCGAGUGUAAGUGCACAAGGGAGCUUGACUGUGAGACUGACGGGUCGAGCAGGGACGAAAGACGGAACUAGUGAUCCGGCGCUGGCGAGUGGAAGCGGCGUCGCUCAACGGAUAAAAGGUACCCCGGGGAUAACAGGCUGAUCUUGCCCAAGAGUCCAUAUCGACGGCAUGGUUUGGCACCUCGAUGUCGGCUCGUCGCAUCCUGGGGCUGGAGUAGGUCCCAAGGGUUGGGCUGUUCGCCCAUUAAAGCGGCACGCGAGCUGGGUUUAGAACGUCGUGAGACAGUUCGGUCCCUAUCCGCCGCGCGCGUAAGAGUCUUGAGAAGAUCUGUCCCUAGUACGAGAGGACCGGGAUGGACGAACCUCUGGUGUGUCAGUUGUCCUGCCAAGGGCACUGCUGAUUAGCUACGUUCGGAAGAGAUAACCGCUGAAAGCAUCUAAGCGGGAAACUCGCUUCAAGAUGAGGGCUCUCACAGGGUUAACCUGGUAAGGCCCCCAGUAGACCACUGGGUUGAUAGGCCGGAAGUGGAAGUGCGGUAACGCAUGCAGCUGACCGGUACUAAUAGGCCGAGGACUUGACCUG
rnacentral:rRNA from 1 species